AGAAAUGCGAUGAAAGAGUAAAGUACAUUACGUUUAGGUGCGACAGGGAGGCGAUGCCGUAGACUGAGAGCAUUGUUGGUACUGCGUAAUGGAAGUUCCCUCUUAAGCAGUGUGCUGAACUGAUAGUAGGCAUAACCGGUUUAUAUCCGUUACAUCAAAAUGAGUGGGCUUUUAGCCAAAUUAGGUGGUACCACGGUUAUCUCUCCGUCCUUUUU
rnacentral:ncRNA from 1 species